rnacentral:lncRNA from 1 species
CUCUUUGUUGAAACUUUACCUCUGAAAACUUUACUUCUGGAAACUUAACUAACAGUUACAAGUGAACCAGCAGAUAUCAUAUAAAAUGCACAAAUUACUGCUUGUGUUACUUUUAGUCAGUUUUGUGGCGAUAUCUUUCCUACCAGAUCGUGCUGAGGCUCAGAGCUAUCACUGCCAAUGUUUUCCGGGCUAUAUGUGUCCCUAUGGAACAUAUCCUGGUGACGGCUAUUGUCCGUACGGAAGUAUAAAGUGUUGCCCUUUUGGAUACCCGUAUUAGUGACAUCUGCCGAAAAAAAGAAGUGUCGCAACCAAAUAAAACUGUCGAUGAAGAACUUUAUUGAACCUAAAGAAUUAAUCAAGUUUAAAGCAGUUAAUUUCAAUGAUUGACAUCUAUUAUUGGAUAAACAUGUAAAUUAAAUACAACAAAAACUA